rnacentral:rRNA from 1 species
GCUCCAGACUCCUACGGGAGGCAGCAGUGAGGAAUAUUGCACAAUGGAGGAAACUCUGAUGCAGCAACGCCGCGUGGAGGAUGACGCAUUUCGGUGCGUAAACUCCUUUUAUUAGGGAAGAUAAUGACGGUACCUAAUGAAUAAGCCCCGGCUAACUCCGUGCCAGCAGCCGCGGUAAUACGGAGGGUGCAAGCGUUACUCGGAAUCACUGGGCGUAAAGGGUGCGUAGGCUGGCUUUUAAGUCAGAUGUGAAAUCCAAUGGCUCAACCAUUGAACUGCAUUUGAAACUGAAAGCCUAGAGUUCAGAAGGGGCAGAUGGAAUUAGUGGUGUAGGGGUAAAAUCCGUAGAUAUCACUAGGAAUAUCAAAAGCGAAGGCGAUCUGCUGGGAUGAUACUGAC